CCUGCUACUGGAGGAGUUGCAGGUACGGCUGCUAUGUCACACGUGCAUCAUUAGAUGGCAGAGAGGAGAGAGGCUAUGUCUAUGCUCAGUGUUCUGACCUGUAGACAAGUGAAUGAUUAGUAGCUCAACACU
ensembl:snoRNA